UUCGACUAAGGUUCGAUUCGAGCGAAAGCGAGAAAGCGUUGCCGCAGGCAACGACCCGAAGGGCGAAGCGCGCAGCGCUGAGUCAACCUUCCCCCACCACCA
rnacentral:sRNA from 1 species